rnacentral:rRNA from 1 species
UAACAACCUGGAAACAGAUGCUAAUACCGGAUAACAACAGAUGAUGCCUAUCAACUGUUUAAAAAGAUGGUUCUGCUAUCACUCUUGGAUGGACCUGCGGUGCAUUAGCUAGUUGGUAGGGUAACGGCCUACCAAGGCGAUGAUGCAUAGCCGAGUUGAGAGACUGAUGGCCACAUUGGGACUGAGACACGGCCCAAACUCCUACGGGAGGCAGCAGUU